rnacentral:rRNA from 1 species
GACGAACGCUGGCGGCGUGCCUAAUACAUGCAAGUAGAACGCUGAAGAGAGGAGCUUGCUCUUCUUGGAUGAGUUGCGAACGGGUGAGUAACGCGUAGGUAACCUGCCUGGUAGCGGGGGAUAACUAUUGGAAACGAUAGCUAAUACCGCAUGAUAUUAAUUGUCGCAUGAUAAUUAAUUGAAAGAUGCAAUUGCAUCACUACCAGAUGGACCUGCGUUGUAUUAGCUAGUUGGUGAGGUAACGGCUCACCAAGGCGACGAUACAUAGCCGACCUGAGAGGGUGAUCGGCCACACUGGGACUGAGACACGGCCCAGACUCCUACGGGAGGCAGCAGUAGGGAAUCUUCGGCAAUGGGGGGAACCCUGACCGAGCAACGCCGCGUGAGUGAAGAAGGUUUUCGGAUCGUAAAGCUCUGUUGUAAGAGAAGAACGGGUGUGAGAGUGGAAAGUUCACACUGUGACGGUAUCUUACCAGAAAGGCGGCU